rnacentral:rRNA from 1 species
CAAGUCGAACGGUGACCCAGGGCUUGCCCUGGUGAUCAGCGGCGAACGGGUGAGUAACACGUGGGCAACCUGCCCCUGACUUCGGGAUAACUCCUCGAAAGAGGAGCUAAUACCGGAUACGACCACUUCGGACAUCCGAUGGUGGUGGAAAGUUUUUCGGUCAGGGAUGGGCCCGCGGCCUAUCAGCUAGUUGGUGGGGUAAUGGGCCUACCAAGGCGACGACGGGUAGCCGGCCUGAGAGGGCGACCGGCCACACUGGGACUGAGACACGGCCCAGACUCCUACGGGAGGCAGCAGUGGGGAAUAUUGCGCAAUGGGCGAAAGCCUGACGCAGCGACGCCGCGUGAGGGAUGAAGGCCUUCGGGUUGUAAACCUCUUUCAGCAGGGACGAAGCGAAAGUGACGGUACCUGCAGAAGAAGCACCGGCUAACUACGUG